GAUGAACGCUGGCGGCGUGCUUAAUACAUGCAAGUCGAACGAACAGAAGAGAAUCUUGCCGCUCUGUCGUUAGCGGCGCACGGGUGAGUAAAACGCGGAUAACCCACCUAUAUGACUUGGAUAACUUCGGGAAACCGGAGCUUUUACAGGAUAUUUUCUUUAUGCCUCUCGUUGGAUGGUGAAAGACGGUUUUGUUGUUAAUUAUAGAUGGCUCCGCCUGGCAUGAGCUAGUUGGUGAGGUAACUGCCUACCAAGGCAACGAUGGGUAGCCGACGUGAGAGGGUGGUCGGCGACACUGGAACGGAGACACGGGCCAGACGCCUACGAGAGGCAGCAGUAGGAAAUGUUCCGCAAAGGGCGAAAGCCUGACAGGGCAGCGCCGCGUGAGUGAUGAGGGUCUUCGAAUCGUAAAACUCUGUUACUAGUGAAGAACAAAUGUGUAAGUAACUAUGCACUGCUUUACGGGACCGAAUCAAAAAGCCACGGCUAACUACGUG
rnacentral:rRNA from 1 species